rnacentral:rRNA from 1 species
GGCAAGUCUGGUGCCAGCAGCCGCGGUAAUUCCAGCUCCAAUAGCGUAUAUUAAAGUUGUUGCAGUUAAAACGCUCGUAGUCGAACUUUAGACAAGGCCGACCGGUCUGCCGUUAGGCAGGACUGGACGUGCCGCGUCUCUUUAUCGGGGAACUCGGGGCGCAAGCCUCAGGGAACCGAGGAUUACUGUGAAGAAAUUAGAGUGUUUAAAGCAGGCUUUUGCUUGAAUACGUUAGCAUGGAAUAAUAAGAUAGGA